rnacentral:rRNA from 1 species
CAGUCGAACGAGAUCCAUUCAGUAGCAAUACUGCUGAAGAUCUAGUGGCGAACGGGUGCGUAGCACGUGAGGAACUUGUCCCGGUCUCUGGGAUAACAGUUGGAAACGACUGCUAAUACCGGAUGACGUCGGAACUUCGCAUGGAGUACUGACGAAAGGGUUACUGGAUCGGGAGAGCCUCGCGGCCUAUCAGCUUGUUGGUGGGGUAAUGGCCUACCAAGGCAUCGACGGGUAGCUGGUCUGAGAGGAUGAUCAGCCACACUGGGACUGAGACACGGCCCAGACUCCUACGGGAGGCAGCAGUGGGGAAUCUUGCACAAUGGGCGAAAGCCUGAUGCAGCAACGCCGCGUGCGGGAAGAAGGCCCUCGGGUUGUAAACCGCUUUCAGGAGGAACGAAACUGACGGUACUUCCAGAAGAAGGUGCGGCCAACUACGUGCCAGCAGCCGCG